GGGGGAAUACUUUAUUAAAGAAGACUUGAUUUGCAAUCAAUUAGUGAAUUACUUCUUCCU
rnacentral:tRNA from 1 species